rnacentral:lncRNA from 14 species
CAGGAAUAGUGGUACACACCUUUAGUCCCAACGCUAGGGAGGCAGAGACUGGCAGGUCUAUGAUUUCGAGGCCAGCCUGGUCUAUAGAAUGAGUUCCAGGACAGCCAAGGCUGUACAGAGAAACCCUGUCUCAGAAGACCAAAAGUAGAUAAAGUCUGCAAUGUUGUUGAUAUUUGCUGACUUUUCAUCUCUAUAUGGAAGUUUGCACACGCGAAUGCAGUUCCUGGGGGAGCCAGAUGAGGUUGUUUUCUACCCUGGAGCUAGAGAGGCAAGCAAAUGGGAGCCACCAGACAUGGGCGGUAGGAAGAGCAGUGUGUGCUCUUAGCUGGUGGUGGUGGUGAUGGUGGUAUAUGUGUGCAUGCAUGCGUGUGUGUACGUGUGUGUGUGUAUGUGAGUGUGUUUGUGUGUGUACUAGUGUGUGUAUGGUGGUCGUGUAUGUGUGUGAGGAGUGUGUGUGUGUGUGUGUGUGUGUGUGUGUGUGUGUGUGUUUGUGUGAUGGAGGUGUGUCACAGCGCACGUAUAGGUAAGUUCUCCACUCUUCUCCAACUCUGAUCACCAUGGUCCUGAGGCGCCUGCUUUACCUGCCGAGCCUCCUCGCCAGCCUGAGACGUUUUAGUCUCUUUCCCUGUGCGUCCGAAGAUGCUGGCGGGUGUUUUGUCUGCCCUUCCUCUCAAGACUGCCCAGCCUGCUUUGACUGUUGGAUGGCUGGGAACCAAGAUCUGGGCGGCUGUUGCUGGAAGCUAAUAAAGAGAAAGUGCUACAGGAAUAUGGAGCCCAGACCCCUGCACCGGAGUCAGGUAACGGUAGGAGCCAGCACAGUGGGUAGGAGUCAGACAAAAUGAAGGUCAGCCUGUAGAUGAAGGGAGGCCCACGGAUGAGGACCUUCAUAGAGCUGCAGUGCCCAAGCGUCCAGCCUGCGAGGAAGGAUGAGCUGGCGGAGGGAGGGAAGAGCCCGGGUGCAAGACGAGUUCCGGUGGCCCGGCUGGAAAAGCCGAGCUGGCUGGUGCCACAAGCCAGUGAUAGGGGCGGGGAACGGGGUAGAUUUGGAGUUGAUGGCCCCAGGUUGGUUCCCAGGCUUGGGUGAGCGCUAAGGAACGGCCUGUGGGAAUCUGGUUCGUGCCAGGCUGGCUUUGAGGGCACUCACUGGUCUGGGAUGGAUUUGAUGGAGUGUUUGGGCUUUUAUUUAUUUUUACUUUUUUUGUCUUUUCCAGACAAGGUUUCUCUGCAUGGCCCUGGCUGUUCUUGAACUUUCUCAAACUCAGAGAUCUGCCUGCUUCUCCUUCCUGAGAGCUGGGACCAAAGGCGUCGCUGCGGCUGCCACCACCGCUGCCGCCACCGCCUCCGCCACUGCCGCCACCGCUGCCGCCACUGGCACCAAACUGGGUUUUUGUUUUUGUUUUUGUUUUUUUUUUUUUUGUUUUGUUUUGUUUUUUUACUUAUUUUUUGAGACAGACUGCCCUCAGCUUUUCACUAAGUCCAAGCUACCUUGAACUCUUGAACCUCCUGCUUCACUUCCCAAGCGCUGGGAGCACGAGGAUGUGCUACUUUGCCCAGCAUGGUGGGUUUUUAUAAAGGACAAAAGUGUUCAUGGCGAGAAUCAGAAGCCCUUUGGGGUGCCCUAGGAUGGAAAAGGGGACUGGGCUCAAAGAAGGCGGGUAGCCCUUGCUACCGUCAGUGUCUGAUUGGGGGUGGGGGGUAUGAGGCAUGGUCCAGGGCAGAGCGCUUGCCUAGCAUCACAAUAAGAAAAUAAUAGAAGGCACAUGGGGAGCUUUUCAGGCCAAGAAGAGGAGGAGGGAUGUUUUCUGAAUGAGAGGAAGUGACACAGAAUACGGAAAAUAAUAAAGCUCAGAGUAAGGAGAGUCAUUCCGCAGUGUACCCCACAGAGAAGGGAGCUGCUUCUGUGGUGACAUUUGGCCAUCCUGACCUCCUAAGAAGCUGACCUGCCUCCCGUGCUCCUCCCCCGAAGAGAGGGGGGUGACCCCACCAACUUCCUACAGCGUGUGCUCAGCCGACCCUGGUAGAGCAGUCUGAAAUGAUGGGUACAUCUUAUUUUCAGGGUCCGUCCGGACCAGGCUGAGUGAGAGAGCUGCCUGCCGGGGUCAGCUGAAGGAAAGGGAGAUAGUGAGUUUAUUUUAAACCCAAGUGGGCACUGGAGCUGCAAACAAGCAUCUCUUGGGAAGAAUCGAGACUGGCAGCCUCUCAGACACUUGUCCGGAAGUCUGGAGGCUGCCAGCAGACAGGGUCCUGCUGGAGGGCUCGGACAUAGUGAGGGGCAGAGCGACACCCUGGAGCACAGGUCACAUGCUGGCCAGUGAUGUCCAGAGGACUGAGACCUGAAAGCCAGAGGCCUCCCGAGAUAACAGGGACCCAGGCUAUGAGG